ACUAAGGUGUCUGAUUAAAGUAGUAAACUGUAAAUUUACUUAAGAACUUAAAUUCUCUUAGUA
rnacentral:tRNA from 1 species